AGCUGUCAAGGUGCUUUUCCGAUGUUGAAUCGUGGAGAUUGUAUAGCUACAAGAGGAUGAAAUCAAGGCAAAGAAAAAUUUUUAGCUUCAAAGAAGGAAUUGGAGCCGACGUGCAAAGUCGUGGAGCCGCUGCACUAAAAGAUACUGCAGUCGCGCCUCCAGCUCAGCUUUGCGGAUGGGGUCGCUAUAAAUGGUCUCCAGCCUGGUUGGGGGAGGAAAGGAGAAGGGGUUUAAACAGGAAGUGCUUCUCAAACCUCCAGCAAAGAACAUUUAACCUAUGGAAAAUAUGCAGCAUCUUUUAAUAAUUUGACUGUAACAGGUAAA